rnacentral:rRNA from 1 species
AUGGCAGAGCAUUGCAAGAUCUCUGCUGCCAUUGUAGCUGGAUCUCAGGAGAAGUCGUGUGUGCUCAAGAUAGAUAGAUACUCAAGAGCCAAGGCGCUACUCAAGAAUGGCGAGGGCCUGACUUCUGCCCCUUUCAGUGUUGGAGGCCACGACUGGACCAUAGAAUACUACCCAAACGGUUACCCUAAGGAUUGCACCGACUUCAUAUCUCUUUAUCUGGCUCUUCAAUCUGCCGGUGCGGAAGAUGUGAACGCGAAAUACACGCUCAGUGUACUUGGCAAGAAUGGAGAACUGCUGCCUUCAUAUAGCCGUACCCCCAACGCUAUACGCACAUUCUCAAGGGGAAUUACAAGCUGGGGCUACCAUGAGUUCAUCAAGAAGGCUGAUCUGGAGGCAUUGGCGCAUCUAAGAGACGACUGUCUCACCCUAAGGUGCGAUAUCACCGUCAUCCAUGCCCAAGAAACAAGUGUUCCUCCAAGUGAUCUGCAUCGGCAUCUCGGUGACCUGCUCAAGAACAAGGAUGCAGCAGACGUAACCUUUCAAGUCGGCGGGCAGCCAUUGUCUGCUCACAGGUGUGUCCUCGCUGCUCGGUCUUCUGUCUUCAAGGCGGAGCUUUUUGGAGCCAUGCAGGAGAGUUCUGCUGCUAGUCCUAUUGAAAUCUGUGACAUGGAAGCAGAUGUGUUCAAGUCAUUGCUCCAUUUCAUAUACACCGACUCGGUUCCUCCUGAGUUUGAUGUGGUGAUGGCUGGCCAUCUUCUCGUGGCGGCUGACAGGUACAAUAUCGGGAGGUUGAAGCUGAUAUGCGAGGAGAAAUUGUGCAGUCACAUUGAUUCCGACAUGGUGGCAACUAGUUUGGCAUUAGCCGAGCAGCAUGGUUUCCGUCGUCUCAAAGAUGCUUGUUUCCAGUUCCUUACUUCUCCGUCCAAUUUUGAGGCGAUGACAGCAAGUGAUGGGUAUGAGCAUCUCAAAUCUAGCUGCCCGUAUGUUCUGAGGGAGCUGAUAGCUAGAAUAAUCCCGACAGAAUUUAAAUCGGCAAAGGAUAUUAUCAUGACAAUUUAG